AUGGACAGUGGGUCACUUGCUUGGACCUUGCUCACAUACCGCUUCUUCCUUGGCGCCAUCUUGACCACUCCCUUGGCGAUGUUCUUUGAGAAAUUCACAAUUCCUGGUCUCUACUACAUUGGCCUCGGAGACACAUCACCAGGAUACGCGAUAAACUUCUAUAACAUCAUCCCGAUUGCCACAUUCAUCCUCGCGGUCCUUUUCAGGAAGGAACUGCGACAACCGUAUAAUCUUUUUUUCAAGAAGGAGUCACUGGACAUGAGGAGCCUGGUGGGGAACAUCAAGGUCAUUGGAACCCUAGUCUGUGUUGGAGGAACGCUGGUGAUCAGCCCGUACAAGGGCAAGGUGCUGCACCUUUGGCCCACCAAUAUCAUCGGCUACCACCCCAAACAAGCCGGAGCUGUGUUUGGUCACCACCAUGUGCGUGGAACCGUCUUGCUCAUCACGAGCUGCCUCAGCCUCGCCGUUUGGUAUACAGUACAUGCUCAGAUGCUAAAAGUGUUCCCAUACAAGUACUGGUCCACGGUCGCUACAUGCUUCGUGGGGAGCAUCCAAAUGGCUGUCGUGGGGGUUGCCAUGAACAGAGAGAAGGCAACAUGGGCGCUCAAAUGGAACAUGAGCUUGCUCACCAUUGUGUACUCGGUCCUCAUUUACAUCUUGCUGCAGGCAAUACUCAACACUGCUGCCAAGUUUGUGAUGAUUUCGUGGGUCAUCACGCAGCGUGGGCCAACCUAUCCGGCCAUGUUUUGCGCCGUGUCGGUGUUCUUCACUACUAUUCUUGACUCAUUGCUUCUCGGCCAUGAUCUGUCCGUUGGGAGUGUUCUAGGCAUGUUCAUGAUUCUAGCUGGGCUCUAUCUUUUCCUUUGGGGAAAGAGAAAAGAACCGGUACCUCCGAGUGAAGAAAAUCCAACGGAACAAAUGUUGUUUCAGAAUGGAGACAAGAAUGAUAAAUCAGUAGCUAAUGAUCGAGAUGGAUCUGCGAGGAGGGCAGGAUGUGAAUGGGUCUCUACAUUAUUUAUGAUGCUUGCAACGCCCGCGGCCAUAGAUCUUGUCAGCGGCCAUGCCAUCGGCCAAAGUUCAUUCAGCGCUAUGCCAGCCUCCAAAAAGGAUUACGGCAUGGUUGAGCUAAGGCAUGAGAGGAGGUACAAAAAGGGGAGCAAGAAUGACCUCGGAGCCCCAUGGUACUUAGUGGCACGUAAGAUGACUCGGAUGUGCAGACCACAGUUUCACAACAUUAUCUAA
rnacentral:rRNA from 1 species